UUUCCGCGAGGUAGAUGAUACCAAACUGACAGCAAACUAUCAACAAUUCAGAAAAUCUGAAUAAGGUUUGUUGCUCUCAAAAUAAAUAAACCUUAAAAAAAUACAAGGAAAAAAGUGACAAUGGGACACAGAGCUAUCAGAUCGGCUAAAACGAAGAAGACUGAAAACACCAAGCACAGACAUGAAGGUCAGGCAGUGGGAGAGUUGUUCUCAUUUUUUGCAUCUCUUCCUUCUCCAAGACUGAUGCGUC